UGAACGAAGAAGAACUCAUGUCAUUAAUCACUUCUAUAUGUAUAGCUCGUAUGGUCAAACAGGUGAAAAGAACCGCCCAACAUUUAUUAUGAGAUAAGCCUCCUCUUGUUCGUCUUGCAACUACACUCCAAGGGCCAAAUACAUCCAAGCCAACGAACGUAAACGGAGAAGCUGGCGUGAGACGGUCUACAGGUAGGUCUGACAUUUGUUGAAUUUGCACUCUUGCUCGAAGUUUGCGGCAUUUGAAACAUUGAAAAAUUACAGACGAUAUGACUCGCUUUCCUCCAACUAUCCAAAAUCCAGCGCUUCGUACAGCACCUUCGGUGAAGUGUCUCCCUUGAUGGAAGACCAACUCGUGACAAUAUCUAACUAUAAGGGUAGCAAGAUAGUGCUUUCCUGGUAUAAUAAUGGGAUUCUUU
rnacentral:lncRNA from 1 species